rnacentral:lncRNA from 1 species
GGGUGGAAAAGAGAAGGCUUGGCAGAGUGUGCACAAAACAAGUGGAACUAAAACCCCGGCACAACUCUAAAAAGCAACCUUUCACCUCGAGCACAGAAAAUUAAUUGAAAGGCAAUCCUAUAUGUGAAUGUAGGUCUAACAGCGCUCAUGGGUACUCAGGCACCAUUCAUAAAAGAACCUUUUUUGGCCAAGUAGAAUCAUGGAACACUAAAAUGAAGAUAUGAUAGUUGGAGAGGAACUCAAUUGUCUCUAUGACACAUACAACA